rnacentral:lncRNA from 1 species
GAUGCUGGGCAAUAUAGUCCAGUAGUGUGGCUAGCAGGAAAAUUAAAGGGGUUUGGUGAAUCCAUUGCUCCUGCCAUCACCCAGAUUAAAGACCUGCCCUCUCAUCCGCAGUCAGGGAUUGAGUGGGCAAGCACUGUGGGCUGCAGACACCAAGCUCCACCAUGAUUCCCCCUCCACUCUCAGAGGCUCCAUCCAGCUGGCAGGCUCACAGCACUGCAGCCCAGCAUCUGAAGUGCUCUGGUUUAUUGCUCCUGUGGUUUCCAUGAAUGAGCUUCUGUUUCCUGCUCCUCUCUCUUUCCACCCACCCUCCCAGAGUGGUCCAUGUCCCAGUAGCAGCUCAUUCCACUUUGUUAGUAUGAGUUGUUGCCUUGAAGGGUGGCUUCAGUGCAUAGAGAAGACUAUCUGUGGCUCCUUGCCUUUUAAAUUACUAAUCAAAAUAUUCAAGUAAAUAAAAUGCCAAACUUAAGAUUUUCCAAAAGUCAUUAUGUUCAACUUACAAGUCUUACUAUUUUAUUUGCAAAUCUAUUUGAACAUUUAUAA